ACCUGGUUCAUUUUGUCAGAUAUCAAGCUGUGAAACAAAACAUGUUAUGUCUGGAGGUGGAGCAAGACGAAGGGUCUGAUAAAGACCAGUUGGUGAGGUAUCAUGUGAACCAAGAUAGGAGAGAAUUGUGGAGGUCAAUGGAGAGGAAGGUGCAAAGAAGGAUACCAUGUUUCUUAAGGAAAGGAGAGACAAAGAUGGAUUAGAAGGGCCGGACCCAGAGAGUUUAACACAAUGAACUGGAGGAAUGUGGAAAAUAUCUUUAUAAAGUUCAUCAAAGGUGCAGAGGCCUGGAGAGAAGAGAAAGAGAAACGUGCCUGGAUCACUGUGAAACAUGAUGUGACUGAGGAGAACAUACCCUGACAGGCUUAUCUAUACACAUUGCUUAGGUAUCAUAAAGGGAAUGACGUCAAAGCUAAAACAGCUGUCACAAUGCUGAUGAUCUCCAGGUUUUAUGGUGAUAAGUUUAUACCAAUUACUGUGACAUGAGAACUAAGAGAACAUAUUCAGAGGUGGGAGCUCCAGAAACCUUCUGCAAAUGUAUUCUAGAACACAUAAUACAACUGCUGCAGGAACAUGUAGCGACCGCAAAGGACAUAAAUUAAAGGAAGUCACAAUUAUCAUUAAGAUAUAUAUACUGUACGUACGUCAUAUGAGUUAUAUAGCCAAUACAUCACAUGAUAAUGUGUAUAACUGGAACCGCUGCUAUUGAUAUGCACCUGUCACCUGUCCACAGAAUUGGAGUAGAUUCAGCAAUCAAUACAUUGCAGCCUAUGACUUGUCAGUUAAAUUGGUAGAAGAUGAGGGACUUAAUCAAAGUGUUCCUCAGUAUAUUCGUAUCAUUUUGCAUUGGGCCAUUGAAUUUUGCAUGUUUCAGUAUUAUAAUUUGGACGUCAACAUGUCGACAUUUCAACAAUAUCCACAUCAUAACGGUCCACAUUGUGCUACUAGACAUAGUGACAUUAAUAUAUAUUGUGCCAGUAUACUGUAUUCAGAUAUAAGUUGUAACAGCAUUGUUAACAUCAAUGGAAUACGUGUGUAAGGCACAAAAACAUAAUUGCUGCAUAGCCCUAUCCCCAGGCACACUGUGACUGCUUGGAUCAUUGGCUGCACUAAGGGGAGCUCACACCUAUGACACUAUUGCAGCUUUUUUUACUAAAUGCAUUCUACACCUGACAUGUGGGGCGUUCAAGUCUGCAUCAGGCAACAGAUCCCUACUUCAUUAUCAUGUGCUUGAUAGUCCUUGUGUUUUACACUGAUGCUGUGUGCCGUGUUUGUGUUAUACUGUUCUAGACAGGUCAUUACAAUUAUAUACUGUAACAAUGAUGUUAUUUGAUAUGAAAUACCUGUGCUCCUAUACAGUAAUACUGAAUAUUGAUUUAGUUGGGAAUGUGGGUGGAAGGAUUAGGGGCAUUUUUGUAGUAGGCUAUACAGAAAGAAUUCAUACAUAACUAGUGACCAGCCCGGCAAAAUGAUGUAACAACAUAACAGUAAUGUCAGCGUCAGCAACUGUGCGUGCCCAAACGGAGCAACAUUUGAAUCACUUAGUCGGGCACCAUCUAGUGGUAUGCAAAGCACUUGAAUUCCCCCACUAAAGUUGAGGAGCAGCGGUAGUCUUUUAUUAUAUAGGAUGUGAUAAAUAAUAUAAAAUAAUAAAAUAUAAAAUAAUUUUGCUCAAGACAAAUGAUACACUAGCUUCCAAUAAAAGUAGCUGCAGUUUUUAAGUGUUCUGAAUGAUGGCCAGAUAGGGAUUCUGUGACUAAAAAAAUAAGACGUGCCUAAUAGUGGAAUAUUUUCAAAUAAGUUUGGUUUAAAAAAAUAAGUCUCAAGUGUUUGCAUGCCAAAUAAAUAAAUAAAUAAAUAAAUAAAGCUUAUCUGUUAACACAUAAGGGUCAAUGUAAUUUGGUGGGAGUUGUUUCAUGAAAUUUGCAGACUUUCGCACAAAUGAGACUCCCGAGAAUUCUCCAAUACAAUGAAAAAUGCCUAUUCACAGAACUCACAGUGGGGGGUUGCGAAUUGUCUGGCGUAGGCAAUUUGAGAGAAGUGGGCUGACCUUUCUGGACCCGCCAAAAAUAACAAUUUCAUUUGCAGAAUCAUACAGAAGGUUGUUAGUGAUCUUAAGGAAAGUACUGGAUGUUUCUAAAUGGUGUUAAAUGGCUGAUUUGUGCUGAUAAAUUUGAACUUUUUCAUUUACUUUCAUACGAAAAAUCAGAAAAUUAUGCUUGACUGUGUAUAUGUUUGACUUUCAGCAAGGCCAAAUGCGCGGUGUCUCAUUUAUUUCAAACAAGAACAUAUUUAUUUUACCCGGACAAAUUCCAAAAUGUGCGUUAUAGUAUUCCAUAGUACAGUAUAACAGGAUGGGUUAAAAUUAGAUAUUCAAAUAUUCUACACAAAAUUAUACAACUAUCUCUACUGUUCCUUACAGAUCAGGAGCAGCUAAGUUAUUAAAAAAGUUGGAGACCAAGGGAAAAUGUUCUCUGGGGUAAAAGGAGGUGAGGGUAAGCUGUUGACAUGCAAUUAAAUGAUUACACUACAAGUUGUCUCUUAACUUAGUUUGUGUACACAUGGUGAGAUCCUUGCUAUGCCCGAUUUUCAUUUGCAAUUUCCCUUGAACUCCCUUGAGCCCAGAUAGCACAGAUUUUGACUAACGUUUCUUGAGAUAUGGACUAUGUGUGCUUACCAUUUUGGUUAUGUGAGAUUUUGGCUUAUGUGAGAUGUCAUUGACAUGUGAGAUGAACUAGAUAGUACACCGAUCUAGCAAGGAUUGACUUGCCUGCACAGCCUAUCUUUUCUUGCGAUGCCGACCUGGUGGGACCGCGCAUCGGGAUCGAAUCGGGAUCGCAAGGUGACUUUCACCUUGCGAUCUGCACUAAUUUUUCUUGCGAUUUUGACUAUAUAGUCAAAAUCGAAAGAAAAUAUCUCACCGUGUGUACACACCCUUAGUGUUAUUGUGCAUGACUCAUGAGCCACAAUAACAUCACAUGUCUUAGUCACCAGAAUUAUAGGUCAGGCUGAUUAGACUGCAGGUGCAUGUUGUUGACUUGGCUAUAUAAAAGGUCCUAAAUAUGCCCAAGCCUGUCACUGUGUUACUGGAGCAUCACAAUGUUGUACGGCUGUACAGUACUUAGACAAAGAGAGUUUCAUACUUUAUCACAGUACUUAGACAAAGAGAGUUUGCUAACUUAUAUUGGCUGCUGUUGAUCUUCUAUUACUAAUAUCAUGUUAGUUUGGAGUCAACGUGUAGACUAGCGUCCUUUCUCACAUCCACUACACAAAUGCCAAUGUGUAGGUAUCUGCCAAUAUGAGCCAGUAAUGAUUGAAUUAUCCCCAAGGCCACACUGCUUCCUCCUUAGGUGCUCCCACAGUUCUCAAAACAGCGAGUACCACAUGCUCUUUUAUGAGAAAAGAGCAGAGUCCCCUGAACACUAGAGCAGCAGCAUCGGGUUCCUACCUAAAUUUAUCUAUGGGGUCUGGCAACACAAUUUUCAACCCCUGGACAAGAGCAACAGAAGUUCCAUAAGGAGCUAAAAUGCGGCAGAUCUCUCAAGCGAGAAACAAUAUGUGGAAAAUCAUUUUGCUAAAAUGAAUAAUUUCUUACAGAUAUAAACUAAGUCAUUGGUUCCUACUUUAAUGAUAUAUAAGAAGAAUUUAAGUCGCACAGGACACUAAAAAAGAUAUUUACAGAAAUUGCUUUGGAACCAAUUGGGGUACCAUUUGAGUUGUGGCCUCAGGCAUCAGAUUGAUUCGCCACACCCUUCGUUAUAGCAGUAAUACCUUCAAACUAUUCAGCAGAGAACAUUAUGGCAACACAUGCUCCCUAUGCAACAACAAAAAAGGCUGCAUACAUAAAAUAUGAAAUUUCACAUUUUUCCCAUCCUGUUUAAUUAUUAAAAUGUCUCCAUCUAUGGCUGAGGAUUAGAAAAUUGCUUCAUAGAUGUAUUUUAUUUUGUAAUAUAUAAUUAAGGCCAUAUGUAAAGCUUUUGUACUACGAUUUAAUGAUUUUGUUGUGUGAGCACAUUUCACUUAUCAUUUUGUACUUCCCCAUAUUUUUAUGUAUGAGGUUUUGUUUAAUGUUUAGGUAUUUCCUUCACCACAACCCACUUGAUUUAUUGAUCUCAUUACAAGCUGGCCUGCUGUUUUCCUAUGUUGUUUAAAAACAUAAAUUAGCCGCUUUAAUUAAACUACUAUAACUG